GGCACCAACAUGGCUGUGAGGUUUCCGCUGGCUCCUCUACAACCGCUCUACCAGCUCCCCUAACGGGAACCUUCCAGCAGGAAAAAAAAGGUUUAUCUUGCCCUACAUUUGCUUGCCUGCAGAUGAGGAGUGUUCACGGCACGGAGGACGGAGGGGAGGGGACGGGAGAGCAGCGCAUUCGUAUCCUGGGACGCUGGGGACCAGCGGCAGCCCUCCAGGACAGAGGAGCCGGCAGAGAGGCACUGCGUUGUUGCAGCACCUCUCCGGGCAUAUGGGAUCCGUACCUCCUCGCUGUUCUGCUCGGCUCCGCAGCGUGGGACAGGAGGCAACCGGCCCGAGGUGUCCGGACGCCGGUGCAGCCACUGCUGCCCUAUGGAGUACAUCUCUGCUUUGGCCUUCCUAGCUUUUGCCCUGCAUGGCCAAGGACAUACUAUAUUACAGCUGCUUGGACAUGUGGUCUAUACCAUUUCCACGAGCUGGCAGAUUCUGAUGCGACUGCCCGAGGCUCGAUACGUGGAGACGCCGGCUGCCGGGGACAGCGGCUGCGUCGUGGCCCUGUGGCUCUGUCUGGUCAGCUCUCCUGCCCACGUGGUGCUCUCUCUCUGACCCCAUGGCUCUGCUCCCAGCUCCCAUCGGGCCUCCCUUGGCACGAGCUGUGUAAGCCAAAACCUGAGGAGUCGUCGCGUGAACAGUCACAAGGUGCCAGCCCCUGAAGAGGAAUGUUUUGCAGGUACUGGCUGACAUUUGCUAGUACGCUGUGAAUGGCCGUGGGUAACAGGAAGGGGUCAGGAGAUGCUAAGAACUGUACUGCCAUCUCCAGCCAGAACCCCCUCUCUUCCCACUGACGAGCCGUCCUGCCCUGCAAGGUCACCAAUCUGCCAACGCUUGAAAGUCACACCAGGGAAGCUGGAGAAUGAAGGCGUUGCUGAUACUACCACACAGGCUUGAGCAAAUGUGGCUGCAAAAAAGGGGCUGAUCAUCUGAAAAGGUUGGGAAACACUGCAAAUCAGAGGAGAUUAGUUAUUAGAUGUUUUUCCCCUUGUGUCAGUGUUGCCAGACUGUGCUGGGGUCCCACCGUCAUCCCCUCGGAGAAAUGGGUUUCCUUUGUAUGGCAAGACCCCGCUCUGGGGCACUUCAGCCUCUCCGAAAGGAACGGUGUCCCCUGCCCAGAGGGUCACCCCAGCCCUCCUGAGGGGUGACAGGGGCUCGGUCACUGCAGCUUCUUGGAAGAGGCUUCUUAGGAACUGCUGUCCCAGCGCGGGGAGAAGCCAGGGGUUUCCAGGCUUUGCCUCUCUGCAAUGAAUGAGCCUUGCAGGGCAGGGCGAGCACCUGGCCCCACAGCCAGCUGCCGCCCCACACUGGCCACGGCCCCCCGUUCUGGCUGCUGCUCUGGAGGGUGGGGGCUCUGGGGUGUCCUGGGGUGCCUGGUAUGCGGGCACAGAGCUGAAAAGCCAGGAGCCCCCCGGGCACUCCCUCCCGAUAGCAUGCCCCCCUCCUGCACCCCCGGGCAGGGGGGGUCUGGUCCCUGCAGCCAGGUGCCCACACUGGCCUGAGCACAGCUCUCGGCAAGGUCCGGAGCCACCACCACACCCCCCACUCCUGAGCAUCACCCUCCUCCGCUCACACACCUCUUACCCUGCCUGCCCAGCAAAGCAUCUGUUGGACCCAGCUCUGCUCUCUGGAAGGAGGUGUGUGAAUACUGAGCAAUUAAUCAGAUGCUCUGUCUUCUAAAAAAAAAACCCUCCACCACUGUUACUUUACAAACUCAGAAGGCAAGACUGCAAAGAUGUGGUGCUCUUAUGAAAUCAGUGAGCAAUAUGAAUAUGGAGUGUGAAUAUGCAUUCAGUGUGUAUAGGAACACGAAAUUAUACAGGAAAUGGGAACUAUAUCUCCAGAAAAUGUCCUUUACAUGGCAAUGACCAAGCACUUCAGAUAGCUGUGUGGAACAGCAGUUGUCCCUAUGGGCCGAGUAAAAGGCAGUUCUGGAAACACUCCCCUCUGCAUCAGAGAUAAUGCCCUUCAGAAAUGCCUCUCCCAUUACUGAGACACUGCCCUGCCAUCGCAGUCUCCCCACUCAGCCUCUCCACUUGCAGAGGUCUCUAUGAGUUUCUGCAGCUCAGUGUGAGUUCUGCAUUGGCAAUAGCAGACACCUUAAUGAAAAGCAUCAUCCCAUCAGCAGCAGCUCCAGCCUGCUCUCAGCAGUCCUCCUGAUUAGCCCGCACCGGAGCUGUCGCUUGGCGCUGACCUGAAAAUCUGCUUACCUGAUUUCUGGGUAGGAGGGAGCUCAGGGCUGCUGGCGUCUGAAACGCGAACACUCAGCACAAAAACCCUCUGCUCAGCUUAAUGCCUUGCUACCCUUGCGCAGCCCCAGGCGGGUCGGCCGUCGAGGUGCUGGGAGCAGGCGGAGGUUUGCCCACGUUUCAGACUGCUGGUG